UAGUUAUAUGCUUGUCUCAAAGAUUAAGCCAUGCAUGUCUAAGUACACACGAAUUAAUAGUGAAACCGCAAAAGGCUCAUUAUAUCAGUUAUGGUUUCUUAGAUCGUUAACAGUUACUUGGAUAACUGUGGUAAUUCUAGAGCUAAUACAUGCAUUAAAAACACGAACCUUUUGGGACGUGUGCUUUUAUUAGGCUAAAACCAAGCGGUCGCAAGAUCGUUAUAUGGUUGAACUCUAGAUAACAUGCAGAUCGUAUGGUCUUGUACCGACGACAGAU
rnacentral:rRNA from 1 species